UCUUCUGAGGAUUUCUCCUGUAAUUCCUGUGAUUUUACACUUAAUAAUGUCAAUCAUUGUGGGUCUGGCAGUGGAGCUCUUCCCUGGAUCAUUGUUGCUGUUUCACUCAGUGUAAAUAUUUUCUGUGUGAUCUACAUAUGGCACCUUUGGAACUCAAGAAAGAAGGUGAAACCCAGUGAAGAUGAUCGAACUUACAUAUCUCUGCAAAAACCUGAUACAUCAGAGUAUGAUGUUAUUGUCCAGCGACCACACUGACACAUCUUCUUGGAUCUCUGUCACCUGGAUGUUACCUGCUGGAUUUUUGUCAAAUUUACUGUUUAAGACAAGCGAGAAAAGAUGCCGUAUAUUUCCCAGGGAAGAGAAGUAAUUUAAUCUAAAAUGAUUAAAUAUACAGAUGAAUAGACAGAAUAAUUAUCUGUGGAUAAUAAUACAAUAUAUCACAAAUACUAACAGAAUGAUAUUCUGUUAUUUGUAAUUAUUUUUGUCCUUUCCCCUUCUGGGUUUAAUAAUUGAAGGUGAAUAUAUUGGGGUGUUUUUGUCUUUGUAUAAUGUCUUUUUUAUGUUUAUUAUCUACCCUUUUAUUGUCAUACAGAUUUGCUGAAACAAAGUUUCUUCCUUAAGUAUAACUAAACCUUGUUUAUGUUUAUCCUUAACCUUAUUAUUAGUUACAUUUCAAUCUUUGCAGUUUCCAAACUUUUAUUUUUGUUUUUCUUUCAUGCGGGCAUGGUGUAUGUGCAUUAGGAAAUUGUUUUGCUAACAUGAUAAGUAUGGAUAAAAGAUUAUGCAGCUGUUGCAGUUCUACUUUAAUCUGUCAAAAACAUGUUCACAAUAAAUAAGUCUCGCUGGAGAUCGGCACCAGCAUCCCUCCCACCCCACUAGGGACAAGGCUGUAAAGAAAAUGGAUGGAUGGAUGGAUGACUCCAUUGGGAACUGGAUGCAGCCCUAUUCCUCCUGUGCUGCUCCCUGAGGCCUACAGCAGAGCAGAUUGGCUCACCAAUUGUCAGCUCCACCAAUCCCUGAUGAGGCCUCUCUUUUUAAAGCCACCAUCUCCUGAGAGAAGGUGGACUUUAUUCCUUGUUUAGACAGCUUGCCACUUUGCUGGUGUUUGACUGCUCUAAAUAGCAUUAUUUGUCUGUGAGCUUUUGUAAACUGUGUUGAUAGCUUUGUCUCUCUGGGGGUUUUGUAUGUAAACUACGAGAUAUUUGUCGUUUGUUUUUGUUUAAUUUUUGCUUUUUAGUCCAAUGUUGUUAAGAUCUUUGGUUUACAACUCUGAUUAUUUUGUGAAUUUUGUUUUAUUUACGUUUGGUUAUAAGACCCGAACUUGAUUAUUGUUAAUUUCCACCUUUUUAUUUUGUUAAACCCAAACAAUAAAUCCUAAACUGUUAAACCCUUAA